rnacentral:rRNA from 1 species
UACGUAGGGUGCGAGCGUUGUCCGGAAUUAUUGGGCGUAAAGAGCUUGUAGGCGGUUUGUCGCGUCUGCUGUGAAAAUUCGGGGCUUAACCCCGGACGUGCAGUGGGUACGGGCAGGCUAGAGUGUGGUAGGGGAGACUGGAAUUCCUGGUGUAGCGGUGAAAUGCGCAGAUAUCAGGAAGAACACCGAUGGCGAAGGCAGGUCUCUGGGCCAUAACUGACGCUGAGAAGCGAAAGCAUGGGGAGCGAACAGG